GGGCAGCAGGCAUUGUCUCAUAGGUAGACUGGUUUGGGUUUAAUUUCUGUCAGCUCUGUGCCUGCCCAGGUGAAACCAAGCUGGCUGUUGGAGAAGGCAGUUAGCACUCACUGCGAGAGGCAAGAAUGCCUUAAUAACAAAA